GACGAACGCUGGCGGCGUGCUUAACACAUGCAAGUCGAACGGAAAGGCCCUGCUUGCAGGGUGCUCGAGUGGCGAACGGGUGAGUAACACGUGGGUGAUCUGCCCCUUACUUUGGGAUAAGCCUGGGAAACUGGGUCUAAUACUGGAUAGGACCAUGCUUUAGGUGGUGUGGUGGAAAGAUUAGUUUCGGUAAGGGAUGAGCUCGCGGCCUAUCAGCUUGUUGUUGGGGUAUUGGCCUACCAAGGCGUCGACGGGUAGCCGGCCUGAGAGGGUGGACGGCAACAUUGGGACUGCGAUACGGCCCAGACUCCUACGGGAGGCAGCAGUGGGGAAUAUUGCACAAUGGGCGCAAGCCUGAUGCAGCGACGCCGCGUGGGGGAUGACGGCCUUCGGGUUGUAAACUCCUUUCAGCCAUGACGAAGCCCUUGUGGUGACGGUAGUGGUAGAAGAAGCACCGGCUAACUACGUG
rnacentral:rRNA from 1 species